ACGCGUUUCGCGCGCGGUGGCCCGAACGAACGAACGAACGCCCGAAAAAUCGGAAUCGCACGCAGUUGUUUUUAUCGACCGGACUCGCCGAUUCGUCGAACACGUCCGGCGGCCACGCGGAACGCUCCGUAGUGCAUUGUUGUUAUCGCGACGCUUCGUUUCGGGGGGGGAGGGGGGUGUCGACUAUUAUUCGAUCCCGUCCCACUUACGAUUUUUCAAUGUUGACCAUUACCCGCGUGGACGGCCGCGGAAAAACGGUCCCGGCGCCGCCGUGUGCUGCAGCGUCGUCGUUACUCACUUGGUCGUUUCGCGUCGUGGAAAAAAAGAAAAAAAAAACAACGAUUUUCUUAUUGUUUCCGUUUAUUUUCGCGUGCGUGUCGAGUGGAAAACUGUCGUAGAGAAAAAAAAAGAAAAAAAAACCGCGCCUUCCCCCCCGGUUUUCUGCUUAUACGCAUCGCGUCCGUCCCGUUGACCGUGUUUCGUUGACAUAAGAAUAUUAUAUUAUUAUUAUGGGCACGUGUUUAGGGUAAAUAAAACGUGCGGAAAACGUGAUCGAAUAGAGUUCCCGAAUAAUCGAGUUUUUUCGAGUGUUGAUUCGGGAAUAAAAAAAAAAAAAAUCUCGGCGUUUUUUCCUCCCCUUCGCGCGUAAUUACAUAAGCCCGUAUUUAUUGCGAUCGAUCGCGGAUAUUAUAAUUUUUGAUACGACGAUUUGUCAAUAUCCCGCGGGUCGUCGUUUAUUCUUACCGGGCGUUACGGCGGCAGAGGGAUUACUCGAUUGCACAACAAUAAUUGUUGUACCAGGGGGAGGGGAUGGUAGGGGGAUAGGUACCGCUUCGCCGGCAGUGUGUAACAGCGAUGGCGGGACGGGCAGGCGGAUUCGCGUUCGCGCGCAGAACCACGCAGUAGUUUUCCCCGCAGUAGGGGUUUUCUCGACAGUCCGAAAAGAGAAAAAAAAAAAACCGUAGGAGAAUUUACGGCGAUUGUCCGAAAACUGCCGCGCGCGCGCAAUAAACGAUGAUAUAACAACCGACGUGGAGGUUCGGUGAAAUUUUCGAAACGUUCUGGCGGUUUUUUCCGCGUUCUCCGUGUUUUUACAGGUACGACGGCCGCGCAACGCGGGAUGCGACGUCGUUCGUAGCAGCGGACGAAAAUUACGGAACUACCAAACACGUUUUGACAGACCCGCGCGUUCGGAACCGCGUUUUUCGUUGGCAGCGCGACGUUCACGGUGUCCGAACGGCGGAGCGGGGUACGGGGAAAGACGGAGCGAUAGAAUACAAUGUAAUAAUGUAUUACGCACAAUAAUACUUUUGUAUAGCGUCUUUGGUGCGUGUGUAACGUGCAUAGAGACGUCAGAGUUUCGCGCGGCGGCGGCGGCGGAGGAGUUUGCGCGGCGUCAGAGUGCAAGAUCGUAACGCGCGCGGCGGAGGGGGCGAGAGAGAGCCGUUCACGAAAAAGGAGUGAAAGGAAAGAGGUAUUUUUCCGUCGUCGUGUACGCGUACGUGUUGCGACGUUGCCGUCC